UACGGAGGGGGCGAGCAUUAUCCGGAUUCACUGGGCGUAAAGGGCGUCUAGGCGGCUUCACAAGUCGGGCGUGAAAUCCCUCGGCUCAACCGAGGAACUGCGUCCGAUACUGUGGGGCUUGAGGGCGAGAGAGGGAGGUGGAACUUCUGGUGUAGCGGUAAAAUGCGUAGAUAUCAGAAGGAACACCGGUGGUGAAGACGGCCUCCUGGCCCGUUCCUGACGAUGAAGCGCGAAAUCUGGGGGAGCGAACGGG
rnacentral:rRNA from 1 species